AACGAACGCUGGCGGCGCGCCUAAUACAUGCAAGUCGAGCGAGAAGGUGUAGCAAUACACUUGUAAAGCGGCGAACGGGUGAGGAAUACAUGGGUAAUCUACCAUCGAGUGGGGAAUAACCAGCCGAAAGGUUGGCUAAUACCGCGUACGCUUCCGAAUCUUCGGGUUCGGAGGGAAAGCCACACUGUGAGUGCGGCGCUCUUUGAUGAGCUCAUGUCCUAUCAGCUUGUUGGUAGGGUAACGGCCUACCAAGGCUUUGACGGGUAGCUGGUCUGAGAGGACGAUCAGCCACACUGGCACUGCGACACGGGCCAGACUCCUACGGGAGGCAGCAGUAAGGAAUAUUGCGCAAUGGGCGAAAGCCUGACGCAGCGACGCCGCGUGGGGGAUGAAGGUCUUCGGAUUGUAAACCCUUUCGGGAGGGAAGAUGGAGCGAGCAAUCGUUCGGACGGUACCUCCAGAAGCAGCCACGGCCAACUUCGUGCCAGCAGCCGCGG
rnacentral:rRNA from 1 species